CCCUGCUGAGCUCAGCGGUGCCCUGCAAUGUCAUGCUGCGUCCUGCAGAACCCUGCUGCUUCCAGCGAGAGAAGCAGCAGGUGAGAGGUGGUCGUGGGCCUCGUUUGAGAGGUAUGGGGCAACGUGGUGGAGGACAAGGCCACGGACCAAGACGGCGACAUCAGCAACAACAAAGAGUGUACAAUGCAAUCCGAGCAACAGUUGUAGACCAUGUCAUAAAUCAUGGAAUGACAAUGACUGAGGCGGCUACUAUGAUUCAACCAAACCUCAGAAGAUCAACCGUGGUCUCUAUAAUCAGAAUUUUCCGCAAAGAGAACCGAAUUGAGAUUAGGCCAAACAGGGGAGGCAGAGGCAAAAUUCUGACUGACCAACAAGAGCAGGCUGUGGUCGAUUUUGGUUCAGGCCAGAAAUGAUAUUCGCCUUACAGAAAUUCGCCAGCAUAUCUUGGACAAUGAAGACAUGUUUAACAAUGUGGAAUCCAUAAGUUUGCCGACUAUUGCACGCAUGUUGAAAAGGCAACAGGUGUCUUUUAAACAACUAUACCGUGUGUAUUUUGAAAGAAAUGCAGACAGAGUGAAGCAAAUGAGGACAGAGUAUGUUCAGAGGGUGAUGGAGUUGGAUGCUGAUGAAAACCAUCACAAAUUCAUAUAUUUGGAUGAGGCAGGCUUUAACCUGGCCAAGACAAGGAGGAGAGGUCGGAAUUUCAUUGGCCAGCGGGCAACCAUCCAAGUACUUGGACAACGUGGGGCCAACAUUACCAUGUGUGCGGCUAUAUCAGAAGAUGGUGUGGUGGGACGCAGACCUCGUAUUGGAUCAUAUAAUGCAGCUCUCCUUGUAACCUUCCUUGAUGAGCUCGAUCAGGUCUGUAGAGCUGAUGGCGUGACCUAUGUCAUUGUGUGGGAUAAUGUCAGGUUUCACCAUGCUCAUAUGGUGCAAGCAUGGUUUCAGGCCCAUGCACAAUUUACCACCCUUUAUUUACCCCCUACUCUCCUUUCCUUAACCCGAUUGAGGAAUUUUUCUCCAAAUGGAGAUGGAGGGUUUAUGAUAGGCGCCCUCAUGAACAAGUCACUCUUCUCCAGGCCAUGGAUGACUCAUGCAAUGACAUCACGGCAGACCAGUGUCAGGCCUGGAUUCGCCAUGCCCGAAGGUUUUUUCCAAGAUGUUUGGCUAAUGAAAACAUCCAUUGUGAUGUAGAUGAGAACCUGUGGCCAAAUCAACAAGACAGAGUUGAUGAAUAUGUAGAAGUACAGUAAUCACUCCUUUGUAUAGCUUUUUACAGUGCAAGUAAGUUGAGGAACACUGCAUUUGAUGUUUUACAGUGCUGUCUUUUCUGUUUCGUAGCCAAUUACUGUAUGUAUUUUGCUUUGAUUUACGUAAAUAAACCUAUGUUGUGAUUGAACUGUAUUGUUUUUCAUCAAUACGUUUCAGAUUGUGUUCAAUGAUUCCACUCACUGUAGUAUUCUCUCUACUACUGCAGUACUUUUACAGGGAUUUAUU